rnacentral:rRNA from 1 species
GACGAACGCUGGCGGCGUGCUUAACACAUGCAAGUCGAACGGAAAGGCCCUGCUUUUGUGGGGUGCUCGAGUGGCGAACGGGUGAGUAACACGUGAGUAACCUGCCCUUGACUUUGGUAUAACUUCAGGAAACUGGGGCUAAUACCGGAUAGGAGCUCCUGCUGCAUGGUGGGGGUUGGAAAGUUUCGGCGGUUGGGGAUGGACUCGCGGCUUAUCAGCUUGUUGGUGGGGUAGUGGCUUACCAAGGCUUUGACGGGUAGCCGGCCUGAGAGGGUGACCGGCCACAUUGGGACUGAGAUACGGCCCAGACUCCUACGGGAGGCAGCAGUGGGGAAUAUGGCAAAAUGGGCGGAAGCCUGAUGCAGCAACGCCGCGUGCGGGAUGACGGCCUUCGGGUUGUAAACCGCUUUCGCCUGUGACGAAGCGUGAGUGACGGUAAUGGGUAAAGAAGCACCGGCUAACUACGUG